rnacentral:rRNA from 1 species
GAAUAUUGGACAAUGGGCGCAAGCCUGAUCCAGCCAUGCCGCGUGUGUGAAGAAGGCCUUCGGGUUGUAAAGCACUUUUGUCCGGAAAGAAAUCCAAUCGAUUAAUACUCGGUUGGGAUGACGGUACCCAAAGAAUAAGCACCGGCUAACUUCGUGCCAGCAGCCGCGGUAAUACGAAGGGUGCAAGCGUUACUCGGAAUUACUGGGCGUAAAGCGUGCGUAGGUGGUUUGUUAAGUCUGAUGUGAAAGCCCUGGGCUCAACCUGGGAAUGGCAUUGGCAACUGGCUGACUGGAGUACGGUAGAGGGUAGUGGAAUUCCUGGUGUAGCAGUGAAAUGCGUAGAGAUCAGGAGGAACAUCCGUGGCGAAGGCGACUACCUGGACCAGUACUGACACUGAGGCACGAAAGCGUGGGGAGCAAACAG